AGCGAACGCUGGCGGCAGGCCUAACACAUGCAAGUCGAACGGACCCUUCGGGGUUAGUGGCGGACGGGUGAGUAACACGUGGGAACGUGCCUUUAGGUUCGGAAUAGCUCCUGGAAACGGGUGGUAAUGCCGAAUGUGCCCUUCGGGGGAAAGAUUUAUCGCCUUUAGAGCGGCCCGCGUCUGAUUAGCUAGUUGGUGAGGUAAUGGCUCACCAAGGCGACGAUCAGUAGCUGGUCUUAGAGGAUGACCAGCCACACUGGGACUGAGACACGGCCCAGACUCCUACGGGAGGCAGCAGUGGGGAAUCUUGCGCAAUGGGCAAAAGCCUGACGCAGCCAUGCCGCGUGAAUGAUGAAGGUCUUAGGAUUGUAAAAUUCUUUCACCGGGGACGAUAAUGACGGUACCCGGAGAAGAAGCCCCGGCUAACUUCGUGCCAGCCGCCGCCGUAACAC
rnacentral:rRNA from 1 species